AUCACCAGAGAUGAGAGCACAGGAGGAGAGAGAGGGGUGGAAAUAAUUCUUCCGCUGUUCCCUUUCUGCUGCAGGGCUCAGCUGUGACAUGGGUAGCAUCCUGCCCCUCCAGGAUUCAGCUCCUGCCAGGGGGCCCCGGCACCCUGCCUUCAGUUCACAAGGAUACAGACUGGCGUGGCUGCCAAGGCCCUUGCUCCGUGACCUGCAUUAAAGUCUUCAACGUGAUAAGGACUAUUCAGAAUUUUGAACUGGCUCCACAAACACGCCAUCCACAACAGUCUCCAGAGAAGCCCAGCUAGUGUUUCCCUUGUUCUCUGAGGACGGAGUGAACCUUCACUGAAGACCCGAUGCCUAUCUGUAUCCACAACCGCAUUACACUUGCAUGUUUCAGAAUGAAUCUCUUUCUCGGAUACAAAAACGUUUGUCCUAUCCGAUAGGAUGGCCUAUGUUUGGGGAGAUGAGGGGAGGGGUGGGGAUAAGAGUCCAGUGGAUAUUCAAGUCUCUGAUUAAUUAUGUGUAGAACCAAAUAAGUUAAACAAUGCUUCCCCCAAGACCUUCCUGUCUAGAAUUGAAGGGUGUGAAUAUCAAGAAAGCUAUCAGACAGUGGCACUCUGAACUCAGAAUUAACCCUUUUCUGCUUUGUGUGCACUGGACGUCUGAUAAGAUGUUAGCUUCCAAACUGUCCCCAGCAGGGGCCUUCAAGAAACUCAAGCCUGCAGAGAGCGAGCAGAGUCAUUUAAUUAGUCUCUUUCUUUCUCUGUUUCCUUUUUUCCUUAUUUUCCUUGUCCAUCCCUCCCUCUUUCCUUCCCCCUCUUCCUUCCCACUUCUUCCUUCCUUUCUUUCACUCUUUCUUUCCUCUUCCUUCUGAAAAGGGGCAGCAGUACCCUAAAAGAAUACCACGAAACCACUGGUACACUUUUGCACAUAGAAAAUGAUGGAUACAUGUAGACUUGAGAGUAGUCAGUUCGAGGUCACUGCCAUCUUCCUCCCUGAGGCCAGCCAAACAUCCUUUACCUAAAAGUGUCGAGGGUUCCUCUUUCCCCUCCCUGUGUUUGGACCAGAUUUAAAAACACCGGGAGACUCAGUGUAGCUCCUGUUUUCUCCUGCUCCCUCACCUUUUCCCUUCUGCUCUUUUUCCCUGACCACGACAGCAAUUACCGCUUCCCUGGGAGGCUGGAUCAGAUAGGGAUGAAAAAAGCAAGUCUUGCCUGGGAAAGCCGAAGACAAAAGGAAAUGAAUGCUUCAAUUUCUGCUUCCUUCAGGCAUAUUAAAGCAGACUAUCGCUGGGAAAAAUCUCUGAGAUAUAUUGUUAAAUUCAAAGAAGAUAUAAUUGCGGAAUAAUGUACAUCAUGUGUGAUUCCAUUUAUGCAUUUGUGCUCAGACUGCUUGUGCGUUUAUAUGCAUAUAAACUCACAGCACAAGACUCCAACUGCUAAUAGCAGUUACCUCUGGGAGUAGAUUUGGGGUGAGGGUUGGUGAAGGAGGGUGUUCACACUUUUAGACAUUUCUAGAAUAUUUGGUUCUGUAAAAUGAGAUUAACUUCUUUAGUUUUUGCUUAGAUAAAUAAUAUAUGGAUUCCAUCACAAAUAGUGAAUUCUUUAACAAUCUUUUUUAGGUCUUUUCUUUUCCUUCUGUGCUACCAGGAAGAACCAAAUUAAUUUUCUCUAUAUUUUAAAAAUUGAGAUUUCUUCACUUGAAAUACAUCCUCUGUCAUUUCGGGGUGUCAUUGUGCUUCCUGAUCAUGAUUUAAAAUAGGUUGUAAUGAAUCAUCUUCCACAGUAAGUUUGACUAAGUCAAGUGAAAAUGGU